rnacentral:rRNA from 1 species
UACAGAGGGUGCAAGCGUUAAUCGGAAUUACUGGGCGUAAAGCGUGCGUAGGUGGUUCGUUAAGUCUGAUGUGAAAGCCCUGGGCUCAACCUGGGAAUGGCAUUGGAUACUGGCGACCUAGAGUGCGGUAGAGGGUAGCGGAAUUCCCGGUGUAGCAGUGAAAUGCGUAGAUAUCGGGAGGAACAUCCGUGGCGAAGGCGGCUACCUGGACCAGCACUGACACUGAGUGAGCGAAAGCCAGGGGAGCAAACGGG